UACAGGGGGUGCAAACGUUGCUCGGAAUCAUUGGGCGUAAAGCGCACGUAGGCGGUCUGUUAUGUCGGAUGUGAAAGCCCUUGGCUCAACUGAGGAAGUGCAUCCGAAACUGGCAGGCUAGAGUACUAAAGAGGAUCGCGGAAUUCCCGGUGUAGAGGUGAAAUUCGUAGAUAUCGGGAGGAACACCAGAGGCGAAGGCGGCGACCUGGACAAGCACUGACACUCAACUACGAAAGCGUGGGGAGCAAACAGG
rnacentral:rRNA from 1 species